rnacentral:rRNA from 1 species
UGGCUCAGAACGAACGCUGGCGGCAUGGAUUAGGCAUGCAAGUCGAACGAAGCAGCAAUGCUUAGUGGCGCAAGGGUGAGGAACACGUGAGUGACCUACCCGCAAGUUUGGAACAGCUCCUGGAAACGGGAAUUAAUACCGGAUGUGAUCAUGAGUCUGCAUGGAUUCAUGAUUAAAGCAGUAAUGCGCUUGCGGAUGGGCUCGCGUCCCAUUAGCUAGUUGGUGAGGUAACGGCCCACCAAGGCCAUGAUGGGUAGCUGGUCUGAGAGGACGACCAGCCACACUGGGACUGAGAACUGCCCAGACUCCUACGGGAGGCUGCAGUCGAGAAUUUUGGGCAAUGGACGAAAGUCUGACCCAGCAAUGCCGCGUGCGGGAUGAAGGUCUUCGGAUUGUAAACCGCUGUUUGGAGGGACGAAAAUUGACGGUACUUCCAGAGGAAGCCACGGCUAACUACGUGCCAGCAGCGGC